CUCCUCAAACUGCAGGGACCGCUGCCCGGCCUCUCCUGACCACACUCGGGGGGCACCAGGAAGGAGGCAUCACCCCUCGUCUGUGCUCCCGGCCCGCCGGGGCUGCCCCCAGACACAGCACAAUCCAGCCUAUCCUGGUUGAUACACUCCCACAGCUCCAAAGAACGCAGUCCAGCCCACUUCAUCCCAGCUGGAGCCUCGGAUGUCUGCUGAUUAAUUUGUGCAGAGCUCGCUGGUGGAGGGAGGUAAGGGGGAGGGGGGAAGGAAGAGGAGGGAGACAGAGAGCUGCGUGGCUUCCAGAGUAGAAGCAGGUUUUCUCUGCUCACCAGUGAUUUUCCCCAGCUUCUUAAGCCCUCUGCCAGUGAUGGGCACAGAAACGAGGAGGCCCCAUCCCUCCCCGUGUACUUGCU
ensembl:lncRNA